GAGGCGUGGCUUCCGGAGCUAACGCGUUAAGUCGACCGCCUGGGGAGUACGGCCGCAAGGUUAAAACUCAAAUGAAUUGACGGGGGCCCGCACAAGCGGUGGAGCAUGUGGUUUAAUUCGAUGCAACGCGAAGAACCUUACCUGGUCUUGACAUCCACGGAAGUUUUCAGAGAUGAGAAUGUGCCUUCGGGAACCGUGAGACAGGUGCUGCAUGGCUGUCGUCAGCUCGUGUUGUGAAAUGUUGGGUUAAGUCCCGCAACGAGCGCAACCCUUAUCCUUUGUUGCCAGCGGUCCGGCCGGGAACUCAAAGGAGACUGCCAGUGAUAAACUGGAGGAAGGUGGGGAUGACGUCAAGUCAUCAUGGCCCUUACGACCAGGGCUACACACGUGCUACAAUGGCGCAUACAAAGAGAAGCGACCUCGCGAGAGCAAGCGGACCUCAUAAAGUGCGUCGUAGUCCGGAUUGGAGUCUGCAACUCGACUCCAUGAAGUCGGAAUCGCUAGUAAUCGUGGAUCAGAAUGCCACGGUGAAUACGUUCCCGGGCCUUGUACACACCGCCCGUCACACCAUGGGAGUGGGUUGCAAAAGAAGUAGGUAGCUUAACCUUCGGGAGGGCGCUUACCACUUUGUGAUUCAUGACUGGGGUGAAGUCGUAACAAGGUAACCGUAGGGGAACCUGCGGUUGGAUCAC
rnacentral:rRNA from 1 species